GAAACGAUACUUGCAAAUGAUAAUAAAUUUGCAUACCAAAUAUCAUGUUGAAUUAACAUAUAAUUUAGCAGUACAACUUAAAAUGAUCUAAUCACAAACUAAUACAUGUAAACUAAGAUAAGUUUGAAAGUCAUUAGACUGUGACUGAGGGGUGAGGCCAAAUAUUCUCCAUGGAAAUGAGAUGUGCCAAUGCUUAUACAACUGAAUACCAAAUAACAUUGGCCUACCACUAAUGGUUCCCCUUGAAAUGACCUAAUCACAAACUAAUACAUGAUAACUCAGAAAAAUUUUCAAAGUCAAUAGACCAUGACUAAGGGGGCGGAGCCAAAUUAUCUCCAUGGAAAUGAGAUAUGCCGAUGCGUACAC
rnacentral:lncRNA from 1 species